rnacentral:rRNA from 1 species
CCUACGGGAGGCAGCAGUGGGGAAUUUUGGACAAUGGGCGCAAGCCUGAUCCAGCCAUGCCGCGUGCAGGAUGAAGGCCUUCGGGUUGUAAACUGCUUUUGUACGGAACGAAAAGACUCUGGUUAAUACCUGGGGUCCAUGACGGUACCGUAAGAAUAAGCACCGGCUAACUACGUGCCAGCAGCCGCGGUAAUACGUAGGGUGCGAGCGUUAAUCGGAAUUACUGGGCGUAAAGCGUGCGCAGGCGGUUAUAUAAGACAGAUGUGAAAUCCCCGGGCUCAACCUGGGAACUGCAUUUGUGACUGUAUAGCUAGAGUACGGCAGAGGGGGAUGGAAUUCCGCGUGUAGCAGUGAAAUGCGUAGAUAUGCGGAGGAACACCGAUGGCGAAGGCAAUCCCCUGGGCCUGUACUGACGCUCAUGCACGAAAGCGUGGGGAGCAAACAGGAUUAGAUACCCUGGUAGUCCACGCCCUAAACGAUGUCAACUGGUUGUUGGGUCUUCACUGACUCAGUAACGAAGCUAACGCGUGAAGUUGACCGCCUGGGGGUAAGGUACGGCCGCGAGUAGUUAACGUUACGAAGGAAGUUAGACGGCGNGAGACGNGCCGACGGACGACGACGAGGGAGGAGG